UCAAGAGUAGCUUAAGGUUUGAAAGUUUGGGAUUCUUACUCUCGAGAUGUUAUUUUUAACCUCUUGCG
rnacentral:tRNA from 1 species